rnacentral:rRNA from 1 species
UGGGGAAUAUUGCACAAUGGGCGCAAGCCUGAUGCAGUGACGCCGCGUGAGCGAAGAAGUAUUUCGGUAUGUAAAGCUCUAUCAGCAGGGAAGAAAAUGACGGUACCUGACUAAGAAGCACCGGCUAAAUACGUGCCAGCAGCCGCGGUAAUACGGAGGAUGCAAGCGUUAUCCGGAUUUAUUGGGUUUAAAGGGUGCGUAGGCUGUUAUGUAAGUCAGCGGUGAAAUACCUAAGCUCAACUUAGGGGCUGCCGUUGAUACUGCAUAGCUGGAAUAUGGUUGCUGUUGGCGGAAUGUGUAGUGUAGCGGUGAAAUGCAUAGAUAUCACGAAGAACUCCAAUUGCGAAGGCAGCUUGCUGGACUGUAACUGACGCUGAUGCUCGAAAGUGUGGGUAUCAAACA